rnacentral:lncRNA from 1 species
AUUGGCGACGACUACCCAGCGAGCUCAAGAUUCGAGUGCGGAAAGUCCAGAAGGAGCGUGAGUGAAUCUGCAGCAGGAGGAGGAGGUUUCGUCAGCCGGUGCCAUAAUGACCACACGAGGGCAGCAGAGGGCCGCGUUUGCUGCAGGAGGGUGGCGUAGGCUCAGCUAGACUGGAGGGAGAGAUAGAUGGCUCAGCUGAUAGACACCUGCCACCAAUCCCUAGGACCCACGUGAUGGAGUUGGAAGGACGGACUCAUUCUAACGUCUGCCUGGGUGUUACACACACACACACACACACACACACACACACACACACACACACACACACACACACACAAUUUAAAAGCCAGAAAGAAACCUAGUUAUGAUAUGUGCUUCCUAAGGACUCACUUUUUGAUCCUCCAAACAGGGACCACCAUUAUCCUUCCCAAGAGGCCCCCUAAGAGCACAGAGGAUAAGGAGGAGACGAUCCAGAAACUAGAGACUCUAGAGAAGAAGGAGGAGGAAGUGACUUCAGAGGAAGAUGAAGAGAAAGAAGAGGAA